UACAAGCAGUGGGAGCCUCUUAAUGGGGUGACUGCGUACCUUUUGUAUAAUGGGUCAGCGACUUAUAUUCUGUAGCAAGGUUAACCGAAUAGGGGAGCCGAAGGGAAACCGAGUCUUAACUGGGCGUUAAGUUGCAGGGUAUAGACCCGAAACCCGGUGAUCUAGCCAUGGGCAGGUUGAAGGUUGGGUAACACUAACUGGAGGACCGAACCGACUAAUGUUGAAAAAUUAGCGGAUGACUUGUGGCUGGGGGUGAAAGGCCAAUCAAACCGGGAGAUAGCUGGUUCUCCCCGAAAGCUAUUUAGGUAGCGCCUCGUGAAUUCAUCUCCGGGGGUAGAGCACUGUUUCGGCAAGGGGGUCAUCCCGACUUACCAACCCGAUGCAAACUGCGAAUACCGGAGAAUGUUAUCACGGGAGACACACGGCGGGUGCUAACGUCCGUCGUGAAGAGGGAAACAACCCAGACCGCCAGCUAAGGUCCCAAAGUCAUGGUUAAGUGGGAAACGAUGUGGGAAGGCCCAGACAGCCAGGAUGUUGGCUUAGAAGCAGCCAUCAUUUAAAGAAAGCGUAAUAGCUCACUGGUCGAGUCGGCCUGCGCGGAAGAUGUAACGGGGCUAAACCAUG
rnacentral:rRNA from 1 species